AAACAGGCUUCCUUUCUCCCCAGCCUCAUCGCCCACCCCGCUGGCUGUGGGGUCAGGAGGAACGCGAUUCCUCAGCAGAUCCAAGAGGUGGCAUUUUCUCCCCCAAACUUUUCUUUUGGCACAGCCUGAGAGUGAAGGAAAAGGUUUUGGUUCCUUGUGACAACUCGGAGAUUGUGAGGGCUGAGCUGUCCUCUGGUGGCACUCAGCCCCAUGCCCAGCGGGCAUGUAAUGCACACUCAACGGUGGAGAUAACUGAGUGGGAGGUGACAGUCGUGUCAGAGGCUGUGAGAAGCCGUGGCUGCUCACCACCGAGAUGGAGCUAAUUAUACCGGUACCCGGGGCUGACCGUGGGCGCUGAGCAGAGGCAGAGGGGUACAGCUCUGCUGUAGGAUCAGUAGGGACCCGUGGGAGGUGGCAUUUGUCACCGUACCUGCGGAUCAGAGCAAGGCCGGGCACCCAGCCAAGACCUCGCUGGGCUAUCUCCCUUUAUACAACCCUGAUGUAAGGUAUUAUGCCGCUCCCUUCCUUUCAGAUGCGAAAACUGAGGUUGCCAGAGGGCCAGAGAUCAUACAGCUAGGGAAGCUAGUGAUCGGACAAGCAAGACGCCAGACUGUGCUGGUUUGAUUCUAAAGCUUAUGGUUUAACCAUCUUGUCUCACAGAUCCUUGCAACAAUCCUGAGAAGCAGGUAUUUUGAUGUCCGUUUCACAGAUGCGCAGCAGAGACUAAAUAAUGAAAUCGAUACUACUCAGAAAGCAUGAGAUUAGUGACAACCGUUUAUAUGGCACCUGACAAUCUGCAAAGCAGUUUUACAUAAGUUGUUUCCUUCGAUUGCAGAAACAGCUUGGAACUGAAGAGGCGGAUAUAAGGUUGGCAUGGUUAAGGAUUUGCCCAAGGUCAACACGGGAACCGGAAGCCGGAUCCAGCUUUCCUCACUCCGAAUCCCGUCCUCUGUCUACCACGCUGCACUGUCAGAUUCCAUUACUUGACCUUGUGAUGAUGAUAAGUCCAUGGUGAGAGUCCACGAGGGUUCAAGGUACUCAACGUCACUACUUUUGUGUUGUCUGACCUCUGCCUUAGUCGUAAGUUGCCUGAGCAGGAAUGGUGACUGCCUUGUUCCUAGCUGGAUCCCCAGCACCUGGAACUUAUGUGGCACACAAUCCGUGGCCCAUAUUUUCUUUAUUGCAGCACUGAAUAAACAAAGAAAAACAAACCAUGGGUAAAUGGAGGGUCUCUACGAAUGUGACUCCUGUUAUAUACAGUCCCUGCAACUAUACUGGAACGAUUUCUGACAUGGUGGCUCAUAAAUGUCAAAACCUAUGUUUAUCUGCUUAAAGAAAGAGAGCCAGUA